AAAAAAAAAAAAACAUGAGUAAACACAAAAAUUCAAGGCAUGCUUUUAGGCGCAGUGACCCUACUUCCCCUUGCAACUUUAUUUUUUAUUACUUUAACUUCACUACCCCACUAAUUUACACCUGUGAUUAGCUAAAAGCGAAAAAGCCGAAAUGGCGAAAGCAUUGAAAUCAAAAUUGAUUCUUCAGUUCGAAAAACUUUCCAAAAAUUUUUAUCCAUGAAAUUUGACUGUAAUUAAAAUUACAGCAUGACAGAAAGUUUAUUUCAUGCUUUUAUUCGAAUUCUCGAACACCGACUAUUACAUUUUUGGGCAAACAGUUGUCAGAAAUACAGUAGAGUACGUUUAUUGGGUAUAUUUUUUAACUGUUUAAAUACAGUAAUUUCGCCAUGAAACAAAACUUAGAAAACAUUCACUGGAAUUCAUGAACAGUUAAUCUUUCAUCUUGCGAUGUUAUUGCCUCCAGCAAUGACAGUACCGACAGGUCUGCAACAGGUGAAGCAAGACAUAAAUACAUACAUACAUGCGUACAGAUGUAUGUCAUACGUGUAACUAUGAAGUUUUGAAAAUACCAUUCAUUGUAUGUACCAGCAAAGACCUGUGUCAAGCAGAACAGUCGCGAAGAAAUCUUCAUCAAUGACUAUUUUCGGCGAAUUUCUUAUGAAUAAAGAUAAAAAAACAGAAUAAAUAUCAAAUAUUUGUACAUCGCACGGCAUCAGAUGACGCUUUUGUGCGGUGAACUAGAGACACUGAAGGCGAUACGUAUGAAAAUGUGGUUGAGCAGGCAGAGACCGCGAUGUCUGCUUCUUUUCAUAUUACAAAUAUUUCACAUCAGCUACAUGAUGAUUGUUUAUAUGUAUAUAUAUACAUUUUUUUUUAUCAUUUGCCAUAACAAGCACUCGAAGAACUAAUGCAAACAUAACAUAAGGAGGAGCUCAGCUCGAUCGGAGCCGAGUUUCGGACAAUGCAAUGCCAAAUAGGUCAGCAAUCAUUGUAUUUACAUACUCAAACAUAAUUAUUAUUAAAUACUACAUUGAAAAUUUACCAACAAACGCAAGCUAAAAAUGUCUAAAAAAAAAAGUAUUUAAAACAUUAUAAUUACGAUGAAAACCUUAGGAAAAAGUAUAUAAAAAUAAUAAAUUCGCGUGAAAUGAAUAAGCAAAUAGAAAUACCGUCUCAAACUGGCAUUUUCAACAGUGUCGCCUUCAAAUGCAAAAGUAGCUGUCGAGGUACCAAAAUUCCAGCUGUCUUCUAUUUAUAUUACUUUCGAAAGAUUUGAAUAUUUUCGAUAUUUCUAUACCGAAAUUAUUUUAUCUAGCAAACAGCCGUGAAUAUUCAAAAUUAAUAUAUCCCUGUACAAAACACCGCGGGGUAUAAAAAUCACUCCAUUAAAUUUUGAAGAGCACCAAAGACACAGAUGAGAUUAAUGCUUGAGAAAGAGUGGUUUAACAAAGAGUAGCUUGCAGAGCAGUGCUGCAUAAAUCUUGCAGAGGGAGUUUUCAAGAAGGGCAUGGUAAAUACACAGAAAAUGUUUGUAAAAUUCAAACAUUAAAGUGAAGUAAAUUAAACAGCCGAGCUACGGAAGUGCGUCGCUGCGUACGUGUUGGUAUGUUGGUACUACAUGAAUGUCCCGUGUCGUGUGUGUUUCAGUUGGCAUAAAACAUAACUUUAUGCUACUAAUUUUACGAUAUUACGCUUCACCAGCGUUCAUUGUAGAUACGAACAGAGUUCCGGCAGCAUGAUGAUGGUUCAUUGACAAGCAACUGCUUGCUAUAAAUGCACGUAAAUAUGAAAAUGUUGGAGUAUUUGCACCUGGUCUAGUGUGUGCGUUGAAUCUCUUUGAGCGAGAUAACGUGAGAGAGCGUGGUUAAGUGAAACUGAGCUCCAAUAUCGGCGGUAAUUUGCUCUGCUCUAUAAAUUUAUGACGUUAAUAUAUCUUCUUUUAUUUGAAGAUGCUUCUCACUUGUUGAGCAAUGUAGACUUCACCAUAAAAACGGGCGUGAAGAUUUCUAGAAACAGCACAAACAUGGGCGCACUACGCCUUCCGCAAUUCAAAACAGAAAAAAAAUAAAUUUUUGUUAUUCUUUCAACCAAUCUUCUGCUAAUUUUCUUAACAACUUUUAUUAUUGUUCUUCAGUUAUAAACUAAGAAAAAAGUUUUUAUGUACAUAUAUGUAUAUGAGAUUUAAAUUAAUUAUACCCAAGUCCUUUUUUUAUUUAUGCUAUAUGUAUGUAUGUAUGUACAUUAACUUGUAUCUUGAGGCGCAAACAUUCUAAAUACAUUUCUUGUCAAUUUUGUUUAUCUUCUACGGCGUAUGAAUAUUUCGCAUUUAUGUAGAUUAUUAUGUAUUUUCUCCUACAUCUAACUAUUCUCCAUAAAAUUUCUCAUUUUUCUAGUUGUAAAUUAAAACUUUUAUGCACCACUAAUUUU